AAAAAAAAAAAAGUCUAUUACCUCUCUGCUAAAUGCGAUACUUUACUAUUAUGUAAGAGCAUAUGCAAAAAAUACACAGGCAUACCAAAAGAAUAACUUUAAGUGCAUAUUAAUAAAACAUCAUAAAACGACUAUGGUUUGCUCAUUAUGGUGGGAAAUGCACACACACACACAAAGCUAGGAAACACGUUCCUGCCCUUUAGAAGUUUACCAUUAUAAAGUCCAAUUUGAAUUACAAAUUGAGAGACACAUAUGACAGACCAAAGAAAGCAUGUGCAGAAAUCAGUAUCUGUUUUCCAAACAGGACAUACCACUCUUGACCACAAUGUCGAGGAAGGCAUAGAAUGAGGUGACCACUCUCAAACCAGAUUUGGAACAACAGGGAGGAGAAUGGAGCAGUCCACUAAGGGAGGGACUAUUUAGUACAGAAGUCCAGAGCAGAAACUCUAAAGCCAUACUACCUGAUUUCCAACUUAGGCAAGUGACUUCAUUAAUCCACCUAUUUUUCUCAAGAGAUCCCCUUAUUUUCAAGGACAAUAAUCAAUCUAGAUGAAUCACUAAAGUGGUGAUGUUUUAUGACUUGCUUUAAAUAUUUCCAACCAGGUGUAGAUGAAGUCUUAUGUGAUGAUUCUGGAUGCAAUUGGUUUCUGCCUACUCUGGAUUCAUUUUGAAAUUAAAAUUAAUCUUUUUUGGGAGCAAUGGAAUUAUACUAAGGUGGCUUCUUUUCCUAUAAUUGAGUUUAGGCCUGUGUCUUUCUAGACCUAGGAUACAGAUGGACUCACGGGCCAUUUCCAGGUUGAUUAGGAGCAAAUAUAUUGGCUAUAGACUAGUAGUGCCAUUAGAAUGAUUUCUGUUGCCUCUAUGGUGUUUCUGCUGUAGCCUACCUCCCAGUGACAUGGCAGUCUUUUUUUUUUUUUUUUUUUUUUAGUAUUUAUUGAUCAUUCUUGGGUGUUUCUCGGAGAGGGGGAUUUGGCAGGGCAUAGGACAAUAGUGGAGGGAAGGUCAGCAGAUAAACAUGUGAACAAAGGUCUCUGGUUUUCCUAGGCAGAGGGCCCUGCCGCCUUCCACAGUGUUUGUGUCCCUGGGUACUUGAGAUUAGGGAGUGGUGAUGACUCUUAACGAGUACGCUGCCUUCAAGCAUCUGUUUAACAAAGCACAUCUUGCACUGCCCUUAAUCCAUUUAACCCUGAGUUGACACAGCACAUGUUUCAGAGAGCACGGGGUUGGUGGUAAGGUUAUAGAUUAACAGCAUCCCAAGGCAGAAUAAUUUUUCUUAGUACAGAACAAAAUGGAGUCUCCUAUGUCUACUUCCUUCUACACAGACACAGCAACAAUCUGAUCUCUCUUUCUUUUCCCCACAUUUCCCCCUUUUCUAUUCGACAAAACUGCCAUUGUCAUCAUGGCCCGUUCUCAAUGAGCUGUUGGGUACAUCUCCCAGACGGGGUGGCAGCUGGGCAGAGGAGCCCCCCACCUCCCAGAUGGGGCGGACAUGGCAGUCUUACAGAGUGAAGGGAGCAAUGGCAGAAGAAGAGCCAACAGAUGUGUUAACUUGUCUUUAAGCGGGCCACCAUCAAUUUGCUCAACUCCGGGAUAGUUGAACCUAGGCAGGCCUUAGUGACUUGUUUAAGUAAUAGAAUAUGUUGAAAAAUAUCUUUGGAGCUUCUGAAGCUAGGUUAUAAGAAGACUUGGAGCUUCUGCCUACGCCUCCUGAAACACCUACUCUUGGACCCCUGAGCCACCAUGCAAGAAAGUUUAGUCCCUGCUGGAAUGAGUUCAUGGAGAGGCUCUGAGUCUGUAUGGAGAGGGAGACAGGCCUAGCUGAGCCUACCUACUACCUGUGCCCACUAAAGCAUCAGGCAUGUGAGUAUGGUCACGUUGACCACCCCAGACCAGGUCAUCUGUCAGUUGAGUACCACUGAAGAGUGACUCCGGUUAACAGCCACAUUGACCAAAAGAAUCAACCAGCCAGAUUUUGCCUCAAUUCCUGAAUUUCAGAAAUUGUCAUUUUAAGCCACUAAGUUUUAAGGUGGUUUGCUACAUUGUAAUAGAUAAUAGAACACUGAAGAGUAAUCUGAGACAACAAGAUGUAGUGAGAAGGUGGCCAUUCCCAACCCAAGGAGAGAACCCUCACCAGAUACUGACCCUGCUGGCAUCUUGAUCUUGGACUUCAAGGCUCCAGAACUG
rnacentral:lncRNA from 10 species